AAUGAACGCUGGCGGCAUGCCUAACACAUGCAAGUCGAACGAAGGCCCUGCUUCGGCAGGAUACCUUAGUGGCGGACGGGUGAGUAACGCGUGGGAACCUGCCCUGGAGUGCGGGACAACAGUUGGAAACGACUGCUAAUACCGCAUAAUCCCUGAGGGGGAAAGGCUUCGGCCGCUCCUGGAUGGUCCCGCGUCUGAUUAGCUAGUAGGUGGGGUAAUGGCUCACCUAGGCGACGAUCAGUAGCUGGUUUGAGAGGAUGAUCAGCCACACUGGGACUGAGACACGGCCCAGACUCCUACGGGAGGCAGCAGUGGGGAAUAUUGGACAAUGGGGGAAACCCUGAUCCAGCAAUGCCGCGUGAGUGAAGAAGGCCUUAGGGUUGUAAAGCUCUUUCAACUGUGAAGAUGAUGACGGUAGCAGUAGAAGAAGCCCCGGCUAACUCCG
rnacentral:rRNA from 1 species